CCCCCCCCCCCCCCCCCCCGAACCCCACAUCCCCAUUCCCCUCUCCCUCACCUGCCGUCUAUGAUCUGCUCUCCCGCCCUUCUCUUCUCUUCUCUGCUUCUUCUGUGCUCUCCCUGAGUUCUACUUCCGGAAUUAUUCCCAUCUGCGUGUGUUCUGCCUGCCUCCGGUCCAGUUCCACUGUGUGUGUUUCGCACAGAGUGGAUAUUGCUUUUGGCCCAUGGCAGUCGUCGAGUGCGCACGCUUGACGAUCGCCUCUUAAUUUGUUCUUUUUUAAGGUCUAGUUACUUCCAUGAUCACCGCUUCAUGGUUACGUGGUGCAAGGGUGCUAGUGCGAGCUCGGUAGUUGAGGUCUGUCGAUGAUCUGUGUGGGAGAAAGCUAGUGUCUCAUUCGUUCUUUUCUAAUCUGCAGAGUGUCGGCAUUGUUGAGGAAGUCGAGGAGCCAGCUGUUUGGAAGUACAGGCUGAGCACCAGGAUAUUCGAACAUCUAUACAUUCAGGCAUCUUAUUUCUAAUUUGUUAUUCAUUCAUGUCUUUCCUGGAGGGCAAAGGACGGCAAUGGACACCACCGACCUUCCAAAGAAAAAGAAGAGGGUGCGUAGAGAUUACUCGGGGUGAUAAUAACUUGCCCUCGAAUUAAUUUUCUUGGUUUUUUCUCUCUUAACUGCAGAGAGUGGACAGCUUCGAACUUCUUGGAGGUCCUCUAUACGGAACCUUCAAGUCGCUCCUCAAAUAGGGGAUGUUUUAUCCGUCAUGAGCAACUCCAAUGUCAGUCGUUUCCACUUCAUAUUUGAGCUAAUCAUAUUAUGGGAAUGAGGAUGUUUCAUUAGCCAAUGGUCCCCGAAAAUUGACACGGUCAUCUUCAGCCCUGGAUGGUUUUUGUACCAAAACUGCAAGGGAGAACUGGACUAGUCCAAAAUGCAUCAAUGUGAAGACUCUAGGACGAAGAUCAGGAGUCCUCUGAGACCGCUUGUUACCUUCCAGACCCUCCUAUCAAGCUGCAGCGGAUGUAGGUACAUUUUGCGGUCUUGACGAUUGUUGAUCCUGAAAUUGCUGAUUCGUUCCAUGGCAGUUAUCUGUGCGAAUAAUGGAAACAAUACAACUACUUACUUCGGGAAUUUCCGGUUCCUAGAAGUGUCCUGCCUUUUGCAAUGUGGAGCCUCGAAAGCCGAGAAUAUGGCUAUGGCAAGUUUCAAUUUGGCAUCGAGACCAUUGAGUUACUACCAAGACAAGAAUGUACCUUGAGCUCGCUGUAGAGGAUUUUGAGCUUGCUGCCGAAAUCGAGAGAGUUACUAUGACAAUUUCAGCAGGUGGCAAAAUCAUUUGAUGCAAUCAUACCCUUGAAGAUGAUAUCAUGGAUAGAGAUUGUUAGGCUCUUCUAUCUGAGUACGUAUUCCUCAAUUUUUUCCUUUCUCUCCCUUUCUCUCAUCUUUCUCCCGGCUCUUCCACAUGUUAGCCGGGUUUCCCUUAGCAACACAAGGGUGACUGGGAAAGUUUUGAGACGAUCAAUUAUGGACGCACACUGUCCGAAACCGUCCAGGAUACAGACUGACAUUACCCAUCUUCGAACUUCAGUCUCCGAGACUAUAACUGAGUAAUUGACGUUAUUGUCUUCAAAUUUUUCCCAACUACUGCUACCUGGUUGGACAUGAUAAGGGUGCACAUCUUUCUUUCAUCGAUUCAAGAGCAUGUGCUGCGAUCCAAGGGGUGAGGAGCUUGCGGAUUUGUGUUGGAAAUUAAGAAUCAAACUUGAAAAACAGAGAGAGGAUGGGGGUUUGCUAUUCCAAAGCAGGAUGGCUUGGAACCAGCACUGAAAAUUACACAGAUUGUUCGGGGCUAAGCACCAGCAACUCUAAGUCGUUGAUCUACGAAUCGCCACGAUGGUCAGCAGACACAGGGGAUAAGGGAAAACUCGCGACCCUAUUUUACAAGAGACGAAGACGAAAUGGUGGAAAUCCAGACCUCUUCACAGCUCGCUUAGAAGGUCUCCUGGGCGGAAUCCACAAUCUUCACAUGAAGCAUUCACCUGGAGACAUCACAUUUGCGUCUUUUGUGGGGACACCAUUCGUAAGGAACUUGGAGACGGAAGGCAUGGAUGCUCUUGCAAGAUCAUAUGCUAUCUCCGCUGCCAAAGCGUCGGCUAGGAACACAUUCUUGCUCUUACAAGAACGGGACCAAUCGAAAACUGUGGAAGUCUAUGCACCGAAGAUUAAGAUUCAGACGCCAGACAUGAAGUCGAUUGAGAUUGAAGUUGCAAACGAAAUAAUCAUUGUUGAUCAAGAUGACGACGAAGGUGAACUACAUGACGACAAUGAUUACGGCAAUGGUGACAUCGAAGAAGAAUCAGAGCUAGAGAACGUUGAAGGGGUUCAAUUAGAUUUUUCUGAAGAUGACGAGAUUAUGAUACUGACUGAACAUGAUUCCUCCAGUGCACAGGGUGAAGAUUUGAGUUUGUCCGAAUUUUCAUCAUCUGCUCAUGAGGACAUAGAUUUAGGGGCGCUCUAUAAAGCUCGGAUGCAGAAAGUAGAGGCCAGGUCUUUUUUUGAAUCGUGUUUUCCAGCAACAGGCCGGUGGGCCUCAGUGGUGAAUGCUGCUAGGCAGUCAGCUUGUUUACCCAGAAGCCACAAUACUCCUGCUCGAAAUAAGUUCACUGAAGGUAGUGAAACUGCUGCGCCCCCGUUGCAUGAGCUUCUAGAGUUCAAGAUCCGGCAUGAAACCCCCCAGGAGAUUUUGUCAAAGUUGCACCUUACUAAUGAGCCUGACUACCAUCGGCAAUUGAUCUAUAAUGUUGGCCGAUUUUCGGGCAGUGAUCGGACAUGUUCCGAUGCCGGACAUGUGUGCGUGGGAUGUUGUGUUUCGAGGGCGAGCGGCAGAUAUUCUGACAGCGAGACCUGCUCCGAAGUUGGACAUGCUUGUAUUGGUUGCUGUGGAUCAAGGGAGGAUCUCGCCAUACCCGUUUCUAUUGCGACCCCCAGUCAAAGUGCGAAGAGCGAGACAUGCUCUAGCUCAGUAAUUCAAGUUUCACUUGAAGGCAUUGAGGAUGACGUAAGGGAGCAACUUUUUACUGUGCCCAUGUUGACUCCGACCCACGGCCUGAGAGUGAGCAUACCCAAGCGGCAAGAGCAGGCAGGACCUUCUAAUUUCUGCAGUACUUUUGAGCAUCCUGUGAUGGUCGAACCAUCAGAGCAAUUAGAUCGAGUUGAUUCUGAUCUGGAUGCAUUUUUUUCAUUUCCUACCUCUCCAUCUGCAAAAGAUCUGGAAGAACUUGGCUCAGGGCACAUUAUUGAGGAAAUGAAAUCGGCUAAAUUAGAGGAGGAGAUGGGACUGAGGCGAUUCCUACAUCAGCCGGACUACGAGGCUGAGGAAGAAUUGGAGGGGCCGAGGAAUCGAGCUGAAAGCCCUCGUGGUGGCAAUGCACUGUCGAAAGGAGCAUUCGGAUCUCCAUUUCCAGUCCUCGGUGCCAGUGGGCGGACGACGCGACACGUCUUUGACAAGAGGCUGAAGCUGUUCUCGUUGGAACGGGCAAACACUGCAGCUCUUGCCAAAAAGCACGCGACCAACGCAAAUGGAGUGCUUACCAGCAGCUCCGACUCUCAUCUGGAAACAUCACCCAACAGCCAGUUGAAUCGGCAAUGGAACACACAUGAGUUGGAUGAAAACAGCUCAGAUUUAUUUGAAAUCCAGGACAUGCAGCCCAUGCCCUUGAGAGCGACGACGCCGGGUGUUAAUUUUUCUUGUCUUGCUGCAAAGAAAAGCCUAAGCUGCAGUAGCCAUGCUGCAUGUGGGGGAUCAACUGACGUGGGGUCGUCUGCACCUCCUUGCAACUCAAGCCAAAUUAGGGAGCGUUAAAAGUGGGGAUCUCGCCAAGUCAUGACACAUGUCCUAGAGUGCGAUGUUUUCAAGCAGUUCUUUGCAACAACGACCAUUAUGUUUCUGAAUAUGUCCUAAAACAUCAAUUACGUGGAGCAAACGCCAUGCGGGAAGCGGAUACUCGAGCAAAGAUCUUGAGGGAGUUGGCCACAAGGAAAAUGAAGUCUCAUCAAAGAAGAUUGCCCAAUGCCCAUUCAGAAACAACCAAGCAGUCGACUACUCACCAGCGCAGGGGCGUUUUCGUGACGGUGCUGAGUUUGCUGCGCCGAAAGAAUUCUGACGACAACCACACCGCUGGUGUGAGUGGAAAUCUGCCCGUCAUUAAAACAUCCCUUGCUGUGGGCCCAGUUCGCCCUCUCAAUGCUAAGAUUAAUCCCUCACAUGGCUUUGAGAUUGAUGGCAAAUCCAUCAAAACGCUGAGCCUAAGGGAUGUACUUGAAAGACAAGAAAGGCAGAGCAGCCAAUAAUGGUAAACAAUUGCAGUUACGACUAUAGCGUCUGGAAAUACUUACUGCGGCCAUUAAGAAAGCGUGUAAACGAAAUCGCAUAAGUGAGUUGAUCUGGCAGACCAGGAGCUCGUUAUGCACACAAAUGACAUUACAAUAAUCAUACAUAGAUCGGCGUGCUCUCUUGAUAAUAACAUAUAUUCUAGGUUGUCCAGAAGGUAUACUGAAUGAUGCAAUGUAUGAAUUGAAAAAAAAAAAAAAAAAAAAAAAAAAAAUGGUGCCGUCCUGACAGUAUCACUUGUUGCAUGUUAGGAUUUAUGAUGUCUGGUGUUAGGGCCUGACUAACUGAUGAAUUUGGAGGUAGUUAGCAUGCCUAUCUAGGUCCUACAUGAUGUUUUGCAAUAUUCUUGGGCUUCAGGCAAGGGAAAAUCUGUGCCCAGUAUUCAACUGACUUUGAUUGAUUGUAGUAAUUUACUUCAAUGCUUACAUUCAUUGUGGUUUAUA